rnacentral:rRNA from 1 species
ACAACGGGUAGCCGGGUUGAGAGACCGACCGGCCAGAUUGGGACUGAGACACGGCCCAGACUCCUACGGGAGGCAGCAGUGGGGAAUCUUGCGCAAUGGGGGGAACCCUGACGCAGCGACGCCGCGUGCGGGACGGAGGCCUUCGGGUCGUAAACCGCUUUCAGCAGGGAAGAGUCAAGACUGUACCUGCAGAAGAAGCCCCGGCUAACUACGUCCCAGCAGCCGCGGUAAUACGUAGGGGGCGAGCGUUAUCCGGAUUCAUUGGGCGUAAAGCGCGCGUAGGCGGCCCGGCAGGCCGGGGGUCGAAGCGGGGGGCUCAACCCCCCGAAGCCCCCGGAACCUCCGCGGCUUGGGUCCGGUAGGGGAGGGUGGAACACCCGGUGUAGCGGUGGAAUGCGCAGAUAUCGGGUGGAACACCGGUGGCGAAGGCGGCCCUCUGGGCCGAGACCGACGCUGAGGCGCGAAAGCUGGGGGAGCGAACAGGAUUAGAUACCCUGGUAGUCCCAGCCGUAAACGA